AGCGGCGUAGGGUAGCCAGGUAUCCCGCGGGGCUCAUAGGGUGUUUCUCCUGAGACACCCCGAGAUCCCAGGUUCAAAUCCUGGCGCCGCUA
rnacentral:tRNA from 1 species